GAUGAACGCUGGCGGCGUGCUUAAUACAUGCAAGUCGAGCGAAAAGACGAGGAGCUUGCUGGUCUGACGAUAGCGGCGUACGGGAGUGGAACACGAGGAAAGCACAACUAUUAGACUGGGAUAACAUUGGGAAACAGGAGCUAAUACGGGCAAAUAUAUUUUAUCACAUGGAUAUAUAGUGUAAGACGGUUUUGCUGUCACUUAUCGAUUGGUACGCGUCGCAUUAGAUAGUUGGUAAGGUAACUGCUUAACAAGGCAACGAGACGUAGCAGACCGGAGAUGGUGAUCGGCCACCCUGGGACUGAGACACGCUCCAGAGUCCUACGGGAGGCAGCAUUAGGGAAUCUUCCGCAAUGGGCGAAAGCCUGACGGAGCAACGCCGAGUGAGUGAUGAAGGUCUUCUGAUCGUAAGACUCUGUUAUUCGGGAUGAACAAAUGUGUAAGUAACUAUGAACAUAAUGACGGUACCUAAUCAGAAAGCCACGGCUAACUACGUG
rnacentral:rRNA from 1 species